AUAACCCAUAAAAAAGAAAUAUUGCUUUAUCUUUUAUCUCUCCUCAGCGAGAAAUAAAGGCCAUGAUUGAGUCCUCCCACUGCAUUGAAUCUCCUCGCCCCACUCACACGCAACACAAGAAGAACAAUCUCGCUGCAGCACGACCCUUCAUCCUUCCCCCUUCAAUAUAUUCUCCCACCUUCCCUAUUCUCUUCCCCUCCAUCCUCAUACAAAAUUUCCAUUAUCAUACACACCUUUUCUCGCUUGGGAGCACGCUGUUUAUCAUAUUGAUUUCUCAAAGGGUUGCUUGCAGAGGUUAUUGGCAUUCUGUCCACCUCCGACUCUUUGCAUCUCCAAAAUCCUGAGAUCUAACUAUUAUGGAGGUGGGCAUCCUGCCAACAGAUCUCCGUUGUCAUCCCUUUGUGAAAUCGUUCUGAUUCUCUCACCAGCAAUAGGAAGCUUGAUGAGUUUUUCAAGUAUAUCAGAUCUGACUUUAGAACAGGAACGUAAUGGGAAGAUCCGCUCCACCAGAUUUGAUCUCCAAUCUGGAAUACAUCUGUCGGUUCCUCCAUAUUUUCAUGCAAGUAUUGGAGGAUUGCUUUUGGUAGAGCAGGUGUAGCAACCAUUAUUGCCAUGAUAGUGAACUCGGUCAUACUUAAGGCGUAGAAUUAUUUAUCUUUAGCUGAUGUGUUGUAUCUUUGGGGGCUAUGCAAAUAUUUGUAAAACUUCAAAGUUUAUGUGUUAGAUAUGUAAAUACAUAAGAGUGUUGCAUAUAUGUUCUUAUUUAUAAACAGAUGUUGUUAACACUUUGGGGUCUUACUAAAGUUCCAAAACAAUGGUUGUUAUACUAUUCUUUUAAACAGUUUCACCAAACAUGGGUAGUAUGAUCUUUUUUUCAUAAAACAGCUGGUUUCACGCAGCUGCACCAAACAGACAGCCAACUUCCCCACAGCUGCUUCCUGUGGCAGCGUAGCUGCAGCUGCGCCAAACAGAGCCUAUGUCUUGAGUGUUUGUUUUGCGUUUAUUUUGUUUGUGAUUGUAUUGUUUUUAGUUAUGUUCGGUAUGUCUCGUUUA